ensembl:lncRNA
AUAAGGACAAAAACUAACUAGAAAGUGCAUUUUCUGAAGAAACUGCAGUGUGAAUGCUUGAAUCUGAAUGUAUGGACUGAAAUGAAUUAAUUGCUGAAUUUUGAGUUAAAAAUUUUGAAUGAGAUAAAAAAACAAAAAAAACAACCUGAAUUUAACCUGAAAACAACAGUGCUGAACUGCUAAAAGCUGAAGGUUACACAGAAGAAGAAGUUGGAAAAAAGCUGAAAAUGUUUUAAUUGUAAAUUAGAAAAACCUAAGAAAUGAGAAAAGAACAUUUAGAGUCAGAAAACAUCUGAAAGAAUAUUAAAAGGUCAUAUUCUUUGAAUCACUGAAUGACUAAAAUGUGAUCCCUCCACUUGGACCCACACAGUUUAAAAAGUUUACAUCUCUGAGCUUUGAAAGACAAGAUGUUGGAAAAAGAACAACGAUGGCGACGUUUUGAGGGUAAAAUGAUGGCUGUAACACUGUGGACACAGCAGCAGUUGAAAGAGAAGUGUUUAAGAUGAAUCUUGGCAGAGUGAGAGAGAGAGCUCGUUAAGCAGGCAGGUGUGAGCCUGGUUGCUAUAGUGACCGCACCCAAUGGCUCCAUACACACGGACACAGACAUGCACCUCACUUUUGCUGCUUAAAAUGAACAGAAAAGUCAGGCCGAAACAAAUCGUUCCCAAAUGAAAAGUAAAAGUCGUAUUGACAAAAUUCUUUCACCGUGAGCGACAGCAGCUUCUAGUCUACCGAAUUCUCAGUUUUCAUGCCUGUGGAGUUUAUUAUAUGGACGUGGUGACAGUGUAAAGACACCAUGCUCUUCUGAUUUUCAAACGAACCUUCUGAGCCAUUUUAACAUUAGAGUCUAUGGAAGAGUUGGAGGGAGGAGGCUGUGCAUUGGUGACAUUUAUGAAAGAACCAUAACACCUAGUACAAUAGUAAACACAUUGGAUGAAAGAGGACAGCCAUGGCUACGUUUUGAGGGUAAAAUCAUACCUGUAGAGCAAACGCUGCGGACACAGCAGCAGUUUUAAAAAAGAUUUUAAGAUAAAUUUUUUUGCUCCUCUCACUCUAGCAGUUGAGCUGCCUCACUCUAGCCCC